rnacentral:miRNA from 1 species
UGAUUGGCACCUCUUUGAGUGUA